UCACCACCCGACGCCACCGCAUCCACCCAGUACCACCACACACUUCCUUCGCCACCCCCACACCCCUCGCCUUUCUCCUCCUCACUCGCAUUCCCCUGCUUUCCUCCCUCACCCGCGCCCAGCUCCUCCUCCGCGCUCAGCCACCGGCGCUGCAGUACUGGCGCUCUUCUUCUUCAGCGCUGCUGCGCCGCGUCGCCGGUCGCAGACUUCCACCAGCCUUCUCCAUUUUCUCCUUCCUCCCGUCGUGGUUGUUCCUGCUCACUGCCUUGCUUCCUUCCCUAUUUCACGAUUCCAGGAACCCAAAUUCUUUAAAGUUUUGGUUUUAUUUCCUUAAGUCAACCCAUUAUCAAAAGCUGGCCCAAUAUCCUUUUAUUUGGAUCUUAAAUUGGACUCGGGGCUCAGGAAGAACGAACCAACAAAAAGGCUUAGCAAAUCGCGGAAUUGAGGUACUGCUGGGGACCACGGAAACGAGUAGUGGCGAGGAUUUCACUAUGUUCACCUAAGUUACUGUUAAGUUGUAACAAGUUUAAGUGAAGAUUCUUGAUUAAGUUACGUACUUUGAUUAAGGAAUUAAAAAGGAUUAUUAUGUUAAUUUUGGAGUUUAAUAGCUUAUGAUUGAUGGUUGCCUUGUAAUUCCCAAGAGGGAGUUACGGCAGUAAUGUCCCGACCGAAUUAGGAUGUUUCCGCUGCUAAGUAUU